rnacentral:rRNA from 1 species
CACGUAGGGGGCAAGCGUUGUCCGGAUUUAUUGGGCGUAAAGAGCUCGUAGGCGGUUCGGUAAGUCAGGUGUGAAAUCUCCACGCUCAACGUGGAGGCGCCACCUGAAACUGCCGUGACUCGAGUCCGGUAGGGGAGUGUGGAAUUCCCGGUGUGAGCGGUGAAUACGCAGAUAUCAGGAAGAACACCUAUGGCGAAGGCAGCUCUCUGGGGAACGGU